rnacentral:misc_RNA from 1 species
AUGAAGAACGCAGCGAAAUGCGAUACGUAAUGUGAAUUGCAGAAUUCAGUGAAUCAUCGAAUCUUUGAACGCAUAUUGCGCUCUCUGGUAUUCCGGAGAGCAUGCUUGUUUGAGUAUCAGUAAACACCUCAACUUCCAUAUCUUUUUUUGAAAUGGGAGUUGGACUUGAGUGAUCCCAACGCUUUUCCUCACCGAAAAGUGGCGGGUUACUUGAAAUGCAGGUGCAGCUGGACUUUUCUCUGAGCUAUAAGCAUAUCUAUUUAGUCUGCCUAAAAAACAGAUUAUUACCUUUGCUGCAGCUAACAUAAAGGAGAUUAGUUCUUGUGCUGACUGAUGCAGGAUUCACAAAGACAGCUUCGGCCGACUUUGUAAACUCGAUCUCAAAUCAAGUAAGACUACCCGCUGAACUUAAGCAUAUCAAUAAGCGGAGGA